AUAAAGGGACGUAGGUGAUAUGCGUACUGUGGAGAAAAGCAGUGAAGUUUGUUCUCACAGCUUUAUUGCAGACCAAUAACUGGAGAGGCCCACACUCAUUGCUUCACCACUUCAACAUUUCCAACAUUUCCAGCAGUACCAUUAAAGCCGUUGUCAUGGAGAUACGUGGGUUUGCUGUAGGUUUGCUGUUGGCUUUGUCUGCCACCCUGUUGGUUGACACACAGACCACCGACGUGAUGAGGCGCUACAAGCACUUUCUCAGACAGCAUGUGAUCGAGGACAUGGAACUGAACCAGUGUGACCAAGUGAUCAACAAGAGGAACAUCAACAAAUGCAACACCAACAACUGCAAAGAAAUCAAUACCUUCAUCCUGGCCACAGAUGAGCAGGUCAGGGCAGUUUGCAGUGAUGGAGGCACACCUAAGGGUAGGAAUCUGUACGAAAGCACCAAACGUUUUCCUUUAGUCAUUUGCAAGUUAAAAAAGGGAGCCAGAUGCCCCAAAUGUGAGUAUAAUGGUAAAAAGAGCAGGCAAACCAUUACAGUGGCUUGUGUCAAGGGCUGGCCUGUGCACUUUGAAGGCAGCAACAUUGUUCUUGAUUUAUUCAAAGGAAUUUUUGAAAGGGCUUUGAUGAUGCUAUCUGGUUAAACAUUAAUGCAAAUUCAUUAAAGAUAUUGUAAUGUUUGCCAGAACAGACGCUUUCCUCAAAACUAAUGGCAAAAUAUGACAUAUACUGUGAACAAUGUACAUGAAACAUAGAUACUUAAAAUGUAAACUAACACUUUAUUCCAUUGUAUUACAUGGCAGGGGUACAUUUUCCACCUCCUGCCCCACCUGUUUAUAACUAGAAAGCAUAUUGGCCCACAAGAAAACAACAAUGUUUUAGGUAAAAUUGUUUGCAUCAACCACCUGCGGCUGCAUUAUCUCAAACUGAUGAGGUUAAAUUUGUCUUUAACUUGUCAAAAUGUUUAUAGUUUGAACAUGAUUAAUCUUUUUCUUUUUUCUUUACUUAUACUAAAUAAAACAUUUUUCACUUACA